CAACACAGCGGCUGGGGCUCAACCACGGGCCAUGGGGCUUGAAUGGACUGACAUAUGUCGACCGACAGGGCUUGACCAUGGGCCACGAGGCCUGACCGACCUGACGUAAAUCGACCGACCAGGCUCGUUCGAAUGGGAAUCCAUGAAGGAAAGGUUAACUGCAGAAAACUCCUCUCUGAUUCUUGAGAUCUUUAGUGUGGAAGUUAAUCAAAUAAUUAUCAAUAGUUUGCUUUUGUAUAUAAACUUAAUCAACAUGAAAGCUGGGCAAUGAUGUAACUCGAGAUCAUGGUUCUAGUAGACCACGAUGCUACUGAAAUGGCGAGGCGGCAAAAGUGCUGCAGCUAUUCAACUGUUCUGAACAAUCGUUGGUAAGAGUAAUGAUAGGGUUUCUUGCCUACAGACCCAAAGUUUUACUCCCAUUUAUUUUUAAACACACUUACUUCUAAAAACAUUCCUAAAUCCAAAACACCCUUAUUUAUAAAUAAUAAGGGUAAAUUUAAGAAAUCCCUAUUCUACAAUGAUGUUGUCAAUGAUGAUGAUGAUAUAACUCUCGAGUCUGAGCCCACAUUAUCUAUCUAACAUGAGCUCUUUAGAUUUUAAUUUUGAUAGCUAACGCAAAAGAUAUUGCUCAAACUAAGCAUCUGAAAGCGAGUUGUUAACUUGUAGACCCUGUUUCUAUGUGUUUAAUCUGGCAAUUAAUGGUUUAUUUUUGAAGCAGACCACCUGAGAUGAUGAUGAUGAUACCAAGGCCGGGACACAUGUUUACUUGGAGAAAGUGUGAAAGCCUUUUUUUAUAAUCAUUCGAAGCCACUUCAUUUUUAUCAUUUCCGCUAGCUAGUACCACCUCCACCUCCACAUCCACCUGCAUUAUGACUUUGACUUCAGAUGUUAAAUUUUGAGUGAAGUUUAUGGUCUUUUAAUGCAACUCGAGUUUCAUGGUUCUCAGAAACCGUGACACUAACUGAGAUGGCAAAGUAGCAAAAAUGCUGCAGCCGCUCAUUUGGUCUGUUCUGAACAAUAAUGAUGAUGAUAAUAACAAGGGUGAAGUGCAGGUAUCACCUGUCGUCUACAAUGAUGAUGAUGUUGUUUGUUAGGCCCACAGUUUAUUCCAACAUUAUCUGAUAUCAAUCUGAUAGCAUCUCAAAUUCGAACUUGUAUAUCCUGUUCCUAUGGGUGUUAUCUUGCGGUGGAUGAUUUAGUUUUGAAGGAGAGCACCUGAGAUAAUGGAUUGACGAUGAUGAUGAGGAUGAUGCCAAGGCUGCGAGUUUUAAGGUGUGAAGCCUUAAAGUUUCGGGAUCGUGUUCUGUCAUUGACAUACACUUAUCUGAAGACGCAUCCUUCUCUCUUAUUUCCACAAUUGAAAUGUUAGCUUUACUUGAACCUAUUUUAGGGGAAAUUUUAAGGAAUGUUGAUACCUUGAGUGAUUUGCCAAUACAUGGGUUUUUCAUUUAGGAGAUGGAAGCAUCAGGUCUACAUGAUCCAUGAUUGUCUCAAAAUGCUCAGUUAAUCAGUAUGAAUAUGGCUUAUGCAUGCUUGUGUUAGACUUAAACGACCGCCUCAUGUAUGCGUAUAUGUAUUCCGCAACUCAUAUACCUUCUAUGCGCACGCGCACACACACAGUCACAAUAAAGAGUCAAGACAUACACAAUAUGGUUCAUGCAUGGUUGUGUUAGACUUCAUCUAUUGCCAGGGUAUAUUAGCUUCAAUCCAAAGGUACGCCCACAGGUUACACAGAAGCUGGAUUGACCGCAAUCAGUUAUAAUACGUGUCUGGGUUAGACUAUCUAUUAUCAAAGGUAUUCUGCGGCUCAUAUGCCUUUGUCACACAAAGACGCACACAGUUGUUAAUGUACACACAAAUACAUACACGUGCACACAUGCCCACACAAAUCACUCAUGUAUAUACAUGGCCAACGCGCACACCUGUGUUGUAGACACACCCGAACUCAUAUGUACCAUGCAUACACCCAGACACCCACUUAAACGCACACCCACAUCUACCCAACCACCUGCAUAUAAGAAAACCGAAAAUUUUCUCUACAUUCAAGGAAAGUUUCUUGAAGAAACUUAAACAAACAUGUAAAUCAUCUCAUGAACGUACGCAAGAAGCCAUGUGGCUGCCCGCACAUGCCUGCCAUCUGCACACACACACGAAGACAUGCACACAUGAAAAUUGGAAAUGUGUUUAUUUAUGGCAAAAUUUUAUUUUUCUAAAGGAGCUCAAUGAACAAGUAAAUCAUCUUUGAGGAUGAUAUACAACAUUCAUUGAUCAACUUGUUCUCAAGGGCACAUGGAUGACUAAUUCUUUGAAUUUCAGAGCUCAUUUGCGAGCAUUCAUCAAAAGUUUCGAACUUGUUCUAUUCACAGGAAAGUAUUCAAUUUACAACAACUUGAUGGAUCGUCAAAUGAUGCACAAGUCCUAUGAUUAGUGAUCCACAAUCCCUUGGCGUCAUGUACGGCAUGAUACACAUGCAUGCAUCCAGCCACCCACCCACCCAUGCAGUCACUCAUAGAGCACAUGUUCUGAUAUUGGGUAUGAGCUGGAAAUCUUAAGAGAUAGAAGAUAUACAAAACAGUUCCAUGAUCAGAGAUUAUGAGGUGUCACAAGAGUAUAUAGUCAUUCGCACAAUCUAAAUACCAGCUCCACCUCCACCCUCUUGUGUCUUUUACUUUAAAGAAUGUAGAUAAUCUGGCAAUGGUUUAGUUUUGGAGAGGACAUGAGAACUUCAUUGAAGAUAUACAGUUAUUUUUAUUAGAAAUUGAAGGAAGAAGGUGAAUAAAGAGGAGAAAUCUCUGAGGUGAAGGUGAUAAUAGGAAGAUGUCAUCCGAAGGUCAAGGAAUCUAGUGCUAAGAAACCUGGUGGUAAAGACCAUUGUUGGCAAUAUGGAGAGAGUUGGUUCUGACACCGGGAAGGUGUGAUGCAAAUUUUGCUUGCAAUCCUUCAGUGGAGAGAUAAGCUAGCUCAAGGCUCAUUUGGCGGGGAAAAGAGGGAAUUGUAAGGCUUGUGACAAGGUUCCUAAGGAUGUGAAGAAAAAAAGUUCUUGCGAUGUUAAAGGACGCAGAAAAAGAGAAGGAUGAAAAGGAGAUAAGAUCGAAUACCUUAUUAAGUGAUGUGCAUGUUGGGGAGGAAGAUGAAGAGAAUGAGAAUCCAUCACUUAGAACUAGAAGCUCAUCUUCUUCAUUGAAGACAAAAAGGUCAAUCUUCAUUGAAGACAAAAAAGGUCAAUGGACUCUUUUGCAUGUCGCUUCCCCAAGGAGACCACCACCUUGCUAGCAAAGGGAGAACAAUCGGCAAUUGACUCAAAAAGAGUAGAAAGAAGGCAAGAGAGGAUGCAAACAAGUAUAUAGGGAAAUGGUUCUAUGACGCCAGCAUCUCUUUCAAUAUCGCAACACUUACCUCUUUCCAACAAAUGGUGUAUGCUAUUGGACAGUUUGGACCUUGUAUGCAUGCUCCAUUGUAAUAUGAGUUGAGAGCGCCCCUUUUGCAAAGAGAGAUGAAUGAAACAAAAGUGAUGGUUGAGAACUUCAAAAAGAAUUGUGCGGUCAACGGGUGUUUUAUAUUGACUGAUGCUUGGAGCGAUCGGAAGUGAACGAGCCUAAUGAAUAUAGUUUGGCAUUCUAAUGGAGGGGCAAUAUUUUUAACUCCAGGAGACACAUCAGCUGAUAAGCAUGACGGGAACUUUAUAUUUUUGUUUUUGGAAAAGGCAAUUGUUGAGUUAGGGUCGGAAAAUAUGGUGCAAAUUGUCACAGAUGGAGCUUCAAAUAACAUGGCGGCCUCUACAAGAUUGACACAGACAAGGCCGAUUAUCUUUUGGACAACUUGUGCAGCACACUGUGUGAAUUUGAUGUUUCGUGACAUAGCUAGAAUCAAGCCAGUUCAGAGUGCAAUUCUGAUGGGAAGAACUGUAUUAGUGUACAUCUACAGUCACACUAAGUCUCUUCAAUUGCUAUGUGAGUUUACAAAUGGAGAAAUAUUGAGACUCGGGGCAACGAGAUUUGCUACAUCGUUUCUUUCUUUGCAGUCUGAGGGAUAAGAAAAAGUAGAUGAGGCAGAUGUUCAUUUGUGACAAGUGGAUGGACUGUAGUCUAUUAUCAAUGGGACCAUGUAAAAAGGUUGCUGAAAUUAUUGCAAGCAACAAGUUCCGGGACAGACAAGGUUGAUUUUGCCCUAAAGUUUUUACUCCCUUGGUGAAGGUUUUGGGGUUUGUCUACGGAGAUCUUUUGGUGGCCAAGUUGGAGUUGAAAGCGGCCAUCAGUAAUGAAGAAAAUAAGUAUCUUCCUAUAUGUAAGGUGGUUGAUAACAGAUGUGAGAACAAGCUUAUGGAGCCACUACAUAAAGCGGGAUAUUAUCUCAAUUCCCACUUCUUCUAUCCAUCUUUUGCGGAGAUUGAAAAGAAGGAAACCUUCAUACAAAGCGUAGUGGAAUGUAUGCAUAAAUUCUACGGGGAUAAUGAUGACAUUUUUGGUAGGAUUAGACUUCAACUUCAUGAUUAUCAACAUAGAAAAGGGUCACUUGGAGCUCAAUUGCCAUCAAGCAAGCGAAAAGGGCAGAUAGUAAUCCCGGUUAUGCACUUGGAAGGUUUCAUUAUGUGGUCGAGAAGCAAGUUUCUACAAUCGGUUAUAUGAUAUAUCCUUAUUUGUGAUGCAAUUUCUUAUUUUAGAAUACAUUAAAUAUGUUUAUAUUGCAUAUUACAAUGUUAUGUGACAUUUUAACACCAUCUGAUAUGCGAUCCCAAUAUUUUUUUACAUAGCCCCGAUGUAUUCCUGAUUUCCGCAAUUCGAUAUGGAUUUUGGCCAUCCGAUAUGUUCGAUAUUUUCGAUAUUUAAUACAUUAAGUAUUUCUUAAAUCUAAAGUUAAUUUCUUUUGAAAGAUUGCUAAUAAGUUAGAUGUUGCUCUAGCCAUUUGGAAAUUAAUUUUCUUUUGUGAUCAUUGUUUUAUUUUAUUGUUUGUAAUCCAUUUUACUGAUUGAAUUGAAACAUUAAAUAUGUAACUGACAUGAGGAAUAAAAGUUAACUUCGUAGUGAAGCUAAAAAGCUUUAAAUUAUUAGGUAUAGAUGGAAUUUCUUGUAGUAAAUGUUGGUUCUACAUAGCAACAACAUUUCUAUAACCCUAAAAUAAACUAAGAUUGUAUGGGACAAUAAGACUAUAUAAUUAAGGCUAUUAUAUUUCAUUAGAAUUUGGCUACAUCUCAUGAGAUUUACAAGAGAUUCAUUAAACGGCAUGCUUGCCAAAUGACAAUAGGCGUCCUUGCUUUAUUAUUAAAAGAGGGGUAAACAAUGUCAUUUUUCAUGGGGCAUAACUAAGUUGGUUAUACCCAGGGAAUAAAAAAAGCCUACCCUAUAUAUAUAAAUGAGUAUGCUUGGUAGCAAGCACAGAUGUGGUACUUAGUAGUGAGGUGGACACUUCUCAUCCACAUAUUUAAAGAUGUUCACUUGGAAAUUGUCCCCACUUUUUUUACUCACUCAUUAGAUGAGGGGAUGAGAAGUGGCCAUCUCCCUAUCAAGCACCAAAAUUUAGUUCUCGGUACCAAACAUACCCAUAUUUCUUUAUACAUUCAAACAUACGUGUGUGUGUAACCAAUAAUUAAUUUUUUAUGUUAUCCUUUCAUGUGUCGUCAGAUAUGACUUUUCUCUAAAGAAGUGCACAUAUAUAAUACAUGCAUAAUUGUCGAUAAUUGCUUCCUUGUAUAUCACAAUCAUAGGUAAUGUUGUGAUUAGGCCUAUUCAGUCGGACUAUGUACUAUUGAAAGUAGAAUCCAGUUCUUAUUAGAACUAGCAGCAUGCAAGCUGGUAGUUGUAUACCAUUCAUGGGGGUAUUGAGGGAUAAUUUGAGGAUUUCACUACCCCCAAGAGUGGCGUAGAACUUCCCUCGAGUAGUUCUGAGAUGAUCUGUUCUCUUCAGAGUAGUGUCUGUAUAUGUUCACUGACAUGAACUAAAGAGUAGAGCAAGUGGUACUGAUCCUAAUAUUGAAGUCCAUCAGAUUGUAAAUUAGAAUUAUUUGACUGGGAUCCAUAAAAGUGCCUCCUUUUUUUGAUCUAUUGCCUCCUUUUUUUGAUCUAUUGCCUCCUUUAUUUAUUUAUUUAUUUAAAUUCUGUUUGAGUAUAUCGGAAGUUAGGAACCAAAUCCAUUGAGGAAUUUUUCGUGUUUUUUAUUUUAAUUUUUAAUUUUUUUUCAAAAUCUUGCCCAAAAGUAUGCCCUUCUAUGCAUCUUUUAUAACUAUUCAAUGAAAAUACUCUUAGGAAUCUCUUAAAAGAAGUGCCUCAAUGUCUUUAUGCUUAAAGAUUUUUUUUCCCUGUUCCUGGUUCUUUUUUAGCAUGUUAAACCAACUAAAUAUUCUCACCUUGCAUGUAUUUGUGAUUCAUGUAAUAGUGAAGUCUGAAUUCUUUGGCUCUUUGAUUCUUGUUCCUGAUCUUGGAUUUUAAUUUUGACAAAGAAAGAUGCAGCACAUGUUUUUGUUAUCUGCUUGAGCUUUGCUAUUAGCACUGAAUAUUCAAAGUCUUUAAAAUAGCUAAUUGCCAAAUAGUCUAGGGUUUUUUAUGAAACCCUUCAAAAAUUAGGGGGUUUUUCUCUAAUUUUUGUUGUCCAGGCAGUUUUUGUGAAAUUUAUUUCCGUGUUAUAGUGGUGAGGCUAUGAUACCAGAGUCUAGGCCAAUGGGACUCUAAUGAUCUCCACUGCCUCGGUGAAAUAUGCCUCCAGCACGCAACAGCUGCUCAUUAGAAAUGGGAAUGGAAGAAGGAAAGGUGUAAUAAUCUGACAAUGAUCCGGUUUUGAAGGAGAUCGCAUAGACAAUUCAUUGAUGAUGGUACCAUGGCUCAAUGAUUGGAAAACUUUAAGGUGUGACAAGUGUUGGUGUGGAGAAAGUCUGAAAAUCUUUUCUAUAUUGUCAUUUGAAAUCACUUCCUUUUCGUGCUUUCUGCAAUGCAUACACCACCUACACCUCCACCUGCAUUAUGACUGCGUUCAGAGAUUCGGGCUAGAUGUAUAGAUAUUCCUCAACUAGUGCCAUUCCCGCAUGAAGCUGCAGGAAUUUUAGAGUUCAUGUUUGGAUUGGAGAUGACGACUUACCAGGUUCAUGUCUGAUUCAUGUAAGAUUCAAACUUGCUUCCAUUUUGGUAUAUGCCAUGACCAGUUCAUUUAAGAUUCAAACUUGCAUCUCUUUUGGUAUAUAUGCCAUGACUGGUUCAUGUAACAUUCCAUAUUUGAUACCAAUAGAUCUAUUACAUUUGCUGUUACUUUCAA